AGGCAUGUGUCCGGUUGGUCGAGGAAGCGGUCUUGAAAACCGUUGGCUGUAAAAGGUUCGGGGGUUCGAUUCCCUCACAUGUCGUA
rnacentral:tRNA from 1 species